UCAGAUCGCCUGUUUAUCAAAAACAUCGCCUCUUGCAAAACCAAAGAAUAAGAGGUCCCGCCUGCCCGGUGACAAUUAAAGUUGUAACGGCCGCGGUAUUUUGACCGUGCAAAGGUAGCGUAAUCACUUGUCUUUUAAAUGAAGACCCGUAUGAAUGGCAUAACGAGGGCUUAACUGUCUCCUCUUUCUAGUCAAUGAAAUUGAUCUUCCCGUGCAGAAGCGGGAAUAAUUACAUAAGACGAGAAGACCCUAUGGAGCUUUAGACACUAAGACAGACCAUGUUAAUCAACUCUAAACAAAGAAUCAAACUAAAUGAUACCCUGUCCUACUGUCUUCGGUUGGGGCGACCAUGGGGAAACACAAAACCCCCACGCGGAAUGAGAGGACUAACCCUAUACCUCACCCUCCCACAAUUAAGAGUUACAACUCUAACCAACAGAACUUCUGACCAAACAUGAUCCGGCAAUGCCGAUCAACGAACCAAGUUACCCUAGGGAUAACAGCGCAAUCCCCUUUUAGAGUCCAUAUCGACAAGGGGGUUUACGACCUCGAUGUUGGAUCAGGACAUCCUAAUGGUGCAGCCGCUAUUAAGGGUUCGUUUGUUCAACGAUUAAAGUCCUACGUGAUCUGAGUACGAUUAAAGUCCUACGUGAUCUGAGUAACGAUUAAAGUCCUACGUGAUCUGAGUCAACGAUUAAAGUCCUACGUGAUCUGAGU
rnacentral:rRNA from 1 species